UCCCUCUUGCAGGAAGCAGUGAGGGCCACCAACUUGGAUGGCAUUAAACAGGAUUAGACAAAUCCAUGGAGGAGAGGGCAAUUGAUGGCUUCUAGCCAGAAUGGUUAUGCUUUGCCUCCACAAUUAAUGGCAGCAAUGUUUCUGAAUACUAGUUGCUGGAAAACAAAAUACGUAAGGGAGAGGUCUCUUGUUCUUGAAUGCUGCUUGCAGGCUUCCACUUGAAGCAUCUGCGUGGCCACUUUGAGAAGAGGAUGCUGGGCUAGAUAGGCCCUUGGCCGUUUCCAGCAGAUCUCUUCUAAUUUCUUAUAAUGGAGGGAGUGGUGCUUUUGUUUGCAAAACCUAAACUUUACUCCAUUGCAGGCUAUUUCCCAAUCUUUGCAGGAAACGUCAAACUCUUAAUUGUGGUGGCGGCAGCCUCUGCUCUGGGUCUUGUGGAUGGAAAUGCAAACUCAGCAGACAGCAGAUUUCAAGUUCCUUCAGGUCAAUGUUUACAUGAACCGUCUCUCCGCCAGAGCCCAGAGCGCUGCUUGUAAAUGAAGAAAAAUCAGCAACUAAGGGCUAGGAUGGUGGAAGUAUCUGGGGAUCUCAUCAUUGUCAAUUUCAAUAAAUAUUCUAAAAAACAGAGAGCGAAAGAAGGAGAAAACCAGUUGUCAAGAAAGGAGAUUCCAUUUAAACCCUAGGCAGGGUAAGAGCUCUGAGGGCAAGAGCUGGUCAACAGUGCAAUGGACUCACUUGGAAGGUAGUGGGCUCUUCUUCCUUGGUAAUUUUCAAUCAGAGGUUAGGGGGCCAUCCAUCUGGGAUGCUUUAGCUGUGAUUCCUACAUUGCAAGGGGGUUGGACUAGAUGACCUUUGGAGGACCCUUCCCACUCUACAGUUCUAUGAUUCUCCCUCUAGGUGUACUCAAAGAGAUAUGUCAAGGAUGGAAAGCAGAAGGCAGCAACAGCUUAUUCACACUCCAAAGGGGUGAUCCUGAGUAUCAUGAAAUCCUCACAGCUGUGGAGCCAUAAAAGUAUAUGACCCACAAAGAAGCAUGCCUGACAGAUCCGUUGACAGUGGGGUGUUGACCAAGUUCCUUUACUUUUCACUGCAGGCAUCAUUCCCCUUGGGUCUGACCAGUCCACCCUCCUCAAAGAAAGUGCCUUGCUGCUCACAGAACCUUGGAAGGCAGUGUUGUAUGGUGACCCAACCCCAAGCUCUUUCUCCUGUGGGCUACUGAUAUGGACCACGUGACUUAGCAGCUCAUUCUCCCAUCCAGAGCGUGGUACCCAGUGAAGGCUGGUUGUGCCAUGGCAAUGAAGGUCUAGCACUACCAAGUGAAAUGUCAAGCAAUAAAAAAUAUAUAUUUUAGACCCCAAAUCUCAAAGGCACCCAGUAGAACUCAUAGACAUCUAACAAAGCUGAAUGUUGGAAUAUUUGGUACAGAUAAAAAAGAAAGCGCUUCUUCAUACAGCGUGGUGUUAAACUAUGGAACUUGCUGCCACAGGAGGAAGCAGUGGUCACCAACUUGGAUACCUUUGAAAGAACAAAUUCAUGGAGGACAAGGUUCUUGAUGGCUACCAUCCUGGAUGGCUCCAUCAUGGUCAGAGAAAGGCCAGCAUGGCUACAGCCAGAGCUCUCAUUCCACAGUGUAUUCAAAUAAGUGGAGAUGUAGAAUCAAAGAACGGCAGAGUUGGAAGGAACUCCAAGGGUCAUCUAGUACAACCUCCUCCAAUGCAGGAAUCACAGCGAAAGAAUCCGUGCUGGAUGGAGUGCCACCCAAUCUCUGCUUAAAAACCAACAGAGGAGGAAUAAUCCCCUUGAAAGCUUCCUGCGAAAUACCCCCAAAGCAGCAUGAAUCCAAAGAUGGGGAGAAGGCACAGAGUUCAGCAAUGAGGAAUACUCUUUUCCCAGGGAACUUUGUGAAUUCAGUCCCUGGCAUCUGUCAUUCAAUCAAUCUCUAGGGAUCUGAUCAACUUUCACUUCCGUUGCAAGAAAAAAUGGACAGGUUUGGGCUAUCGAAGGCCUCCUUCAGAACAAGGCAGCUUCGU